rnacentral:lncRNA from 1 species
CCCUUGCUUUGGGGUAUUCUAUACGAUUUCAAAGAACCUUCAGAAGCUCACACAUGCCUUUGGGCAUGCAGAACCAGGAGGCAGCACAUCUAAACCACAAAUGGAGAAUAUACUCCAUCUACGUGUGUAAAUUAAACCCCAUAAAAUAACAUGGGCAUUAUAAAAUUUGUGUUAAAACUGAUAACAGCUUUACUGAUUUACUGACAAUGAAAAUAUAUAGCAUUUUUUUCUGUCAGAGCAUUUAUCAACACUUGGCAACCCUGCACUAACUUGACAUGUAAGAUGAUCAAAAUGGAUUAUGUAAUCUUUCCCAUUCAUUUCUAUUGAUUUUAGUUAUGAUAAAAUUCAUCAGUGUGCCUGGGAACGCUUAGGCUGAAAGGCUCUGGUAGAUUUAAAAAAAUAAAUAAAUAAAUAAGGAAAUAAAAGGAAAAAAGAAUUCAACUGAGUUGUAAUAGGAUGAAUGUAAUUGUAGAAUAGGAUUGCACAAAUACAGAAGUCAUGCCCUAAAGGCUACAGCAACAAAUUAAUACAAAUAAUUCUGGCAGUCUUAUAAAAUUACAUCUAUCUCUGUAGAUAUUUCACUUUUGUGUCAUCAAAAACACAGUUUGUAAAAAUAUUUUCAAACUUUUUUUAAACUUCAACAGUAAUCAAAGUUAUCUGACUGCAAGUAACAUCAAAAUGCUAGCAAAUAGACCAUUUUAAUCAGUUUUAUUGAUUCAUGCUUCCAGUUCUUAUUCAGUUAAAAACAAGGCACAUUAAAUACCAAGACAGUUAUAAAAAUG